rnacentral:rRNA from 1 species
GAUGAACGCUGGCGGCGUGCCUAAUACAUGCAAGUCGAGCGAACAGAUGAGGAGCUUGCUCCUCUGACGUUAGCGGCGGACGGGGGAGUAACACGUGGAUAACCUACCUAUAAGACUGGGAUAACUUCGGGAAACCGGAGCUAAUACCGGAUAAUAUAUUGAACCGCAUGGUUCAAUAGUGAAAGACGGUUUUGCUGUCACUGAUAGAUGGAUCCGCGCCGCAUUAGCUAGUUGGUAAGGUAACGGCUUACCAAGGCAACGAUGCGUAGCCGACCUGAGAGGGUGAUCGGCCACACUGGAACUGAGACACGGUCCAGACUCCUACGGGAGGCAGCAGUAGGGAAUCUUCCGCAAUGGGCGAAAGCCUGACGGAGCAACGCCGCGUGAGUGAUGAAGGUCUUCGGAUCGUAAAACUCUGUUAUUAGGGAAGAACAAAUGUGUAAGUAACUAUGCACGUCUUGACGGUACCUAAUCAGAAAGCCACGGCUAACUACGUG